GACGAACCGUGCGAACGUUGUUCGGAAUCACUGGGCUUAAAGGGCGCGUAGGCGGACCACCAAGUCCGUGGUGAAAUCCUCCGGCUUAACCGGAGAAUUGCCUGGGAUACUGGUGGUCUUGAGGGAGGUAGGGGCACGCGGAACUUCCGGUGGAGCGGUGAAAUGCGUUGAUAUCGGAAGGAACGCCGGUGGCGAAAGCGGCGUGCUGGCCCUCUUCUGACGCUGAGGCGCGAAAGCCAGGGGAGCGAACGGG
rnacentral:rRNA from 1 species